AUUGAACGCUGGCGGCAGGCCUAACACAUGCAAGUCGAGCGAGCGGCGGACGGGUGAGUAAUGUCUGGGAAACUGCCUGAUGGAGGGGGAUCACUACUGGAAACGGUAGCUAAUACCGCAUACCAUCAGAUGUGCCCAGAUGGGAUGAGCUAGUCGGUGGGGUAACGGCUCACCUAGGCGACGAUCCCUAGCUGGUCUGCGAGGAUGACCAGCCAAACGGGAACUGAGACACUGUCCAGACGCCUACGGGAGGCAGCAGUGGGGAAUAUUGCACAAUGGGCGAAAGCCUGAUGCAGCCAGGCCGCGUGGGUGAAGAAGGCCUGCGGGUUGUAAAGCACUUUCAGCGGGGAGGCGUUAACCGCAGAAGAAGCACCGGCUAACUCCGUGCCAGCAGCCGCGGUAAUAC
rnacentral:rRNA from 1 species